rnacentral:rRNA from 1 species
ACGCACGUGUGAAACUUGAAGGAAUUGACGGAAGGGCACCACAAGAACGCGUGGAGCAUGUGGCUUAAUUUGACCCAACGCGGGAAAUCUUACCGGGUCCGGACACACUGAGGAUUGACAGGCAACCUUGCGGUUUGCUGAGCUUCCAUUGCCUUCUACCAGGGGCUUUGGCGGCCGAGCUGCCGCAUCUAAAUAUGCUCCUUUCAUGAUUAUGUGAUAGGUGGUGCAUGGCCGUUCUUAGUUCGUGGAGUGAUCUGUCUGCUUAAUUGCGUUUCGCACUGGACUUGAUAAUCAAGUGUGCUACUCUUCUUGUGCCUCGAACACGAUCUGCGCGUUAUAACGUCGGCGUGCGUACCCCGGCCGCUUCUCGCCGCUUGGCUCGUGCCUUCGCUUCUCCUCCGGGAGUCGCGUCGNNCUUCUCGCCUNNNNNNNNCGNGGNCUG